rnacentral:lncRNA from 1 species
CUUGCGGAGGGGCAGGCGGCCCAGGAACCCUGUGACCGGUAGUAACCUGAAGCGGGACUUUUAAGUGUAGAGAGUGGACAAGACGCCCAGUCUUGAGGGUUUUCCUUUGGCCCAAGCUUUCCGGGAUGUGGAUUGGGCGGAGGAUGGGCUCAGGGCCAGGAUGGAGGGCCAGAGACCCUGGUGAGGUAUUAGCUGACAUGAGAGAAAGAAAGGUGCAUUGGAGUCGGCAAGGUCGUAAUUUCGUAUUCUUGGUCAACUUCGUAGUGUCUGCACCUCUCUCCCAAGUCCACUAAGCUUGCAAAAUAAACACUGCUGGAGACAGAUUUGUGAAUUAG